UGGAUGGACCACUCCGUCUACCCAGUGUUUAGACUAUCUGUUCAGGACUCGCAAAUUGUACAGUAGUCUGCACAUUGGUUAGGCUGGCUGGGUUAGACCC
rnacentral:pre_miRNA from 10 species